UGUAGUCUCGCACAGAUGCAUAUCAAUAAGCGGAGGAAAAGAAACUAACAAGGAUUCCCCUAGUAACGGCGAGUGAAGCGGGAAGAGCUCAAAUUUGAAAUCUUAAAGGGUUUCCCUUUACGAAUUGUAGUUUAAAGAAGUGUUUUCUGUUGAGGUUUUGGUAAAAGUUCUUUGGAAUAGGACAUCAUAGAGGGUGAGAAUCCCGUAUUUGACCUUUACUUUCAACUUUGUGAUACACUUUCAAAGAGUCGGAUUGUUUGGGAAUGCAGUCCAAAAUGGGUGGUAAAUUUCAGUCUAAAGCUAAAUAUUGGCGAGAGACCGAUAGCGAACAAGUACCGUGAGGGAAAGAUGAAAAGAACUUUGAAAAGAGAGUUAAACAGUACGUGAAAUUGUCAAAAGGGAAGCGUUUGACACCAGUGUUGUUUUUCUGAAAAUCAAUUAAAGGAACUGUUUAUGCUAAGUUGUUUAGACUUUAUCAGCUAACUGUUUAGUUUUGAGCUUUUCUUUAAUGCACUUUUCAGUUAACAAGUCAACAUCAAUUUCUUUUGCUGUAAAAAAGCUUGAGGAAGGUGGCUUGAGAUUCGUCUUAAGUGUUUAUAGCCUCUUGCCUAUGCAGUCGGAGAGAUUGAGGUCUGCAGCGUAGAUCCUUCGGGGCUAAAUGCAUUUGUGCUGAGUUAUAGCAUUUUAUAGACAACUUGUUGACUAUGAUUUGUCUUGUAGCUUACUCGCUUAUGUUAUUUUACCUACGCUUAGGAUGUUGAUCUGUAGUGCGUGCGC
rnacentral:rRNA from 1 species